UACAUGGGGUGCAAACGUUGCUCGGAAUUACUGGGCGUAAAGCGUGCGCAGGCGGUUUUGUAAGCCAGAUGUGAAAGCCCCGGGCUUAACCUGGGAAUGGCAUUUGGGACUGCAAGGCUUGAGUGCGGCAGAGGAGACUGGAAUUCCUGGUGUAGCAGUGAAAUGCGUAGAUAUCAGGAGGAAUACCGAUGGCGAAGGCAGGUCUCUGGGCUGACACUGACGCUCAUGCACGAAAGCGUGGGGAGCAAACAGG
rnacentral:rRNA from 1 species